rnacentral:rRNA from 1 species
UACAGAGGGUGCAAGCGUUGUCCGGAAUCAUUGGGCGUAAAGCGCGUGUAGGCGGCCAGGUAGGUCCGGUGUGAAAACUCGAGGCUCAACCUCGAGAGGUCAUCGGAAACCAUCUGGCUAGAGUCCGGAAGAGGAGAGUGGAAUUCCCGGUGUAGCGGUGAAAUGCGCAGAUAUCGGGAAGAACACCCAUGGCGAAGGCGAGCUCUCUGGGACGGUACUGGACGCUGAGACGCGAAAGCGUGGGGAGCGAACGA